rnacentral:rRNA from 1 species
AGAGUUUGAUCCUGGCUCAGGACGAACGCUGCGGGCGCGCCUAACACAUGCAAGUCGAACGAGAGAGAGGGAGCUUGCUUCCUUGAUCGAGUGGCGAACGGGUGAGUAACGCGUGAGGAACCUGCCUCAAAGAGGGGGACAACAGUUGGAAACGACUGCUAAUACCGCAUAAGCCCACGACCCGGCAUCGGGAAGAGGGAAAAGGAGCAAUCCGCUUUGAGAUGGCCUCGCGUCCGAUUAGCUAGUUGGUGAGGUAACGGCCCACCAAGGCGACGAUCGGUAGCCGGACUGAGAGGUUGAACGGCCACAUUGGGACUGAGAACACGGCCCAGACUCCUACGGGAGGCAGCA